UACAGAGGGGGCAAGCGUUGUUCGGAAUUACUGGGCGUAAAGGGCGCGUAGGCGGCCUUCUAAGUCGAACGUGAAAUCCCCGGGCUCAACCCGGGAACUGCGUCCGAUACUGGAAGGCUUGAAUCCGGGAGAGGGAUGCGGAAUUCCAGGUGUAGCGGUGAAAUGCGUAGAUAUCUGGAGGAACACCGGUGGCGAAGGCGGCAUCCUGGACGGCAUUGACGCUGAGGCGCGAAAGCCAGGGGAGCAAAGCGGG
rnacentral:rRNA from 1 species